rnacentral:rRNA from 1 species
UGAUGACUUGUAUGAAAGAUUGGAUGAAAUAUAAACUGUCUCUUAAUUAAAUAUAAAAUUUAAUUUUUUAAUUAAAAAGUUAAAAUAAAUUAAAAAGACGAGAAGACCCUAUAGAGUUUUAUAAUUGAUUUUAUUAAGAUUAUUUAAAUAAAUAAAUUAAGAUUAAAUUAAUUAUUUUAUUGGGGUGAUAAAAAAAUAUAUAUAACUUUUUUUAAUAUUAAAACAUUUAUAAGUGAUUAAUUGAUCCAAUAUUAUUGAUUACAAGAAAAAAUUACCUUAGGGAUAACAGCGUAAUUUUUUUUUUUAGUUCAAAUAAGAAAAAAAGUUUGCGACCUCGAUGUUGGAUUAAGAUAAAAUUUAAAUGCAGAAG